rnacentral:rRNA from 1 species
UACGUAGGGUGCGAGCGUUAAUCGGAAUUACUGGGCGUAAAGGGUGCGCAGGCGGUUUUGUAAGUCAGAUGUGAAAUCCCCGGGCUUAACCUGGGAAUUGCGUUUGAAACUACAAAACUGGAGUGUAGCAGAGGGGGGUGGAAUUCCAUGUGUAGCAGUGAAAUGCGUAGAGAUAUGGAAGAACAUCGAUGGCGAAGGCAAUCCCCUGGGUUAACACUGACGCUCAUGCACGAAAGCGUGGGGAGCAAACAGGAUUAGAAACCCUUGUAGUCC